rnacentral:rRNA from 1 species
AUUGAACGCUGGCGGCAUGCUUGACACAUGCAAGUCGAACGGUAACAGGGUGCUUGCACCGCUGACGAGUGGCGAACGGGUGAGUAAUGCGUCGGAACGUGCCGAGUAGUGGGGGAUAACGCAGCGAAAGUUGUGCUAAUACCGCAUACGUACUGAGGUAGAAAGUGGGGGACCUUCGGGCCUCACGCUAUUCGAGCGGCCGACGUCUGAUUAGCUAGUAGGUGAGGUAAAGGCUCACCUAGGCGACGAUCAGUAGCGGGUCUGAGAGGAUGAUCCGCAACACUGGGACUGAGACACGGCCCAGACUCCUACGGGAGGCAGCAGUGGGGAAUUUUGGACAAUGGGCGAAAGCCUGAUCCAGCCAUGCCGCGUGUCUGAAGAAGGCCUUCGGAUUGUAAAGGACUUUUGUCAGGGAGGAAAUCCCUAGCGUUAAUACCGCUGGGGGAUGACAGUACCUGAAGAAUAAGCACCGGCUAACUACGUGCCAGCAGCCGCCGUAAGAC